GCGGCUAUGGCGGAAUAGGCAGACGCGCUACCUUGAGGGGGUAGUGAGAGUAACUCUCGUGCAGGUUCGACUCCUGUUAGCCGCA
rnacentral:tRNA from 2 species